GGUUGCGUGGCCCAGUGGUUAAGGCAUCUGCUUUACAAAUAAUGAGGAAGCUUCCUUUGGUAGCUAUUCUCUAAUCUGUUCGCAGAGGAUCGCAGGUUCGAGCCCUGCCGCGAUCA